rnacentral:rRNA from 1 species
ACGGCUCAGUAACACGUAGUCAACAUAACCAGAGGACGUGGAUAAACUCGGGAAACUGAGGCUAAACCGCGAUAGACCAAGAUACCUGGAAUGGUUUUUGAUCAAAAUCUAUAUGGCCUUUGGAUUGGACUGCGACCGAUCAGGCUGUUGGUGAGGUAAUGGCCCACCAAACCUGUAACCGGUACGGGCUCUGAGAGGAGGAGCCCGGAGAUGGGUACUGAGAAAAGGACCCAGGCCCUAUGGGGCGCAGCAGGCGCGAAACCUCUGCAAUAGGCGAAAGCCUGACAGGGUUAUUCUGAGUGACUUUCGCUAAGAAAGUCUUUUGACAUCUCUAAAAAUGGUGUAGAAUAAGGGGUGGGCAAGUCUGGUGUCAGCCGCCGCGGUAAUACCAGCACCCCGAGUGGUCGGGACGAUUAUUGGGCCUAAAGCAUCCGUAGCCGGUUUUACAAGUCCUCCGUUAAAUCCAACUGCUUAACAGAUGGGCCGCGGAGGAUACUAUAAGACUAGGAGGCAGGAGAGGCAAGCGGUACUCAGUGGGUAGGGGUAAAAUCCGUUGAUCCAUUGAAGACCACCAGUGGCGAAGGCGGCUUGCCAGAAUGCGCUCGACGGUGAGGGAUGAAAGCUGGGGGAGCAAACCGGAUUAGAUACCCGGGUAGUCCCAGCUGUAAACGAUGCAGACUCGGUGAUGGACUAGCUUAAUGCUAGUCCAGUGCCGCAGGGAAGCCGUUAAGUCUGCCGCCUGGGUAGUACGGUCGCAAGACUGAACAG